AAAAAGAGUAGAGAGAGAGAGAGAGAGAGAGAGACAACGCGAGUGAGAGUGAAGGAGGGAGUAGAGAUAACACGUAUAUAAACUGGGGAUUUUGUAUCCUCACUCUCUCUCUCUCACUCACUCACUCACUCACUCACUCACUCACUCACUCAAUCUUUUU
rnacentral:miRNA from 1 species